rnacentral:rRNA from 1 species
CGGCAGGCCUAACACAUGCAAGUCGAGCGGUAGAGAGAAGCUUGCUUCUCUUGAGAGCGGCGGACGGGUGAGUAAUGCCUAGGAAUCUGCCUGGUAGUGGGGGAUAACGUUCGGAAACGGACGCUAAUACCGCAUACGUCCUACGGGAGAAAGCAGGGGACCUUCGGGCCUUGCGCUAUCAGAUGAGCCUAGGGUCGGAUUAGCUAGUUGGGUGGGGGUAAUGGCUCACCAAGGCGACGAUCCCGUAACUGGUCUGAGAGGAUGAUCAGUCACACUGGAGCUGAGACACGGUCCAGACUCCUACGGGAGGCAGCAGUGGGGAAUAUUGGGACAAUGGGCGAAAGCCUGAUCCCAGCCCAUGCCGCGUGUGUGAAGAAGGUCUUCGGAUUGUAAAGCACUUUAAGUUGGGAGGAAGGGUUGUAGAUUAAUACUCUGCAAUUUUGACGUUACCGACAGAAUAAGCACCGGCUAACUCUGUGCCCAGCAGCCGCGGGUAAAUA